AUUGAACGCUGGCGGCAUGCCUUACACAUGCAAGUCGAACGGCAGCGGACCUUCGGGUGCCGGCGAGUGGCGAACGGGUGAGUAAAGUAUCGGAACGUACCUUUCAGUGGGGGAUAACGUAGCGAAAGUUACGCUAAUACCGCAUAUUCUGUGAGCAGGAGAGCAGGGGAUCGCAAGACCUUGCGCUGAUUGAGCGGCCGAUAUCAGAUUAGCUGGUUGGUGAGGUAAAGGCUCACCAAGGCGACGAUCUGUAGCGGGUCUGAGAGGAUGAUCCGCCACACGGGAACUGGGACACGCUCCAGACUCCUACGGGAGGGAGCAGUGGGGAAUUUUGGACAAUGGGGGCAACCCUGAUUCAGCCAUGCCGCGUGAGUGAAGAAGGCCUUCGGGUUGUAAAGCUCUUUCGGCCGGGAAGAAAUCGCUUAGGUUAAUACCCUGAGUGGAUGACGGUACCGGAAUAAGAAGCACCGGCUAACUACGUGCCAGCCGCCGCAGUAA
rnacentral:rRNA from 1 species